UGAUUAUCAAGAGUGAACGAGAGAAUUGGCUCUAUGACUUCACAGCAACCUCCCCAUCAGGAAAGGUGCUCCUACCAACAAAGCUCUGCUUUGGUUGAUAAAAG
rnacentral:ncRNA from 1 species